AGAGUUUGAUUCUGGCUCAKAGCGAACGCUGGCGGCAGGCCUAACACAUGCAAGUCGAACGAACUCUUCGGAGUUAGUGGCGGACGGGUGAGUAACACGUGGGAACGUGCCUUUAGGUUCGGAAUAACCCAGGGAAACUUGUGCUAAUACCRAAUGUGCCCUUCGGGGGAAAGAUUUAUCGCCUUUAGAGCGGCCCGCGUCUGAUUAGCUAGUUGGUGAGGUAAAGGCUCACCAAGGCGACGAUCAGUAGCUGGUCUGAGAGGAUGAUCAGCCACGUUGGGACUGAGACACGGCCCAAACUCCUACGGGAGGCAGCAGUGGGGAAUCUUGCACAAUGGGCGAAAGCCUGACGCASCCAUGCCGCGUGAAUGAUGAAGGUCUUAGGAUUGUAAAAUUCUUUCAGUAGGGACGAUAAUGACGGUACCUACAGAAGAAGCCCCGGCUAACUUCGUGCCAGCAGCCGCGGUAAUACGAAGGGGGCUAGCGUUGCUCGGAAUUACUGGGCGUAAAGGGAGCGUAGGCGGACAUUUAAGUCAGGGGUGAAAUCCCGGGGCUCAACCUCGGAAUUGCCUUUGAUACUGGGUGUCUUGAGUAUGAGAGAGGUAUGUGGAACUCCGAGUGUAKAGGUGAAAUUCGUARAUAUUCGGAAGAACACCAGUGGCGAAGGCGACAUACUGGCUCAUUACUGACGCUGAGGCGCGAAAGCGUGGGGAGCAAACAGGAUUAGAUACCCUGGUAGUCCACGCUGUAAACRAUGUGCGCUGGAUGUUGGGCGGCCUAGCCGCUCAGUGUCSUAGCCAACGCGGAAAGCGCAUCSCCUGGGGAGUACGGCCGCUAGGUUGAACUCAAAUGAAUUGACGGGGA
rnacentral:rRNA from 1 species